GCUCAUCAGUUUGGCCAGAAGCGCCCGAGAAAGGUGGAGCUUAAAAGAAAGGAUGAGCAACAGUCCAUAUUCGAGCUACAUGUGCGGUUGGGAUGAUUGGACCUUCCCGAUUUCUGUACCUAGGCAUCUUGAUGGGCCCAGCAUAAGGAGUUAUUCGAAUACGGAAGCCCGCUGACAGACCCAACUAUUUGUCAGGACUCGCGAGCAUAUGCCCACCAGCAUAUUCUCUACCCAAUCUACAUAUUCUCAUUCGGUGAAAUGGAUAUUCUGCCCACCCCCACACCAUAUUGACGUAAACCACCACCAAUAUUUCCUAAUUGCCAAAAACACCCCUGCCUGACAUUCAUGUUCUGGUUGUCAGUUGUCGCGCCAUGGCGUGGGCAAAUUGAUGGAUAUGAUCUAAAAACUAGAGUUAUACUUGAAAAGAAGCAUUUCAAAAUGGUAGUGACUCAUUCGCUCUAUGGAAAGUUUCGAUUAGUCUCGUUUCCGUAUAUAUUCUACUACUCCUAGCGAUUCCCAACAUUUGGGCGGUCAGCACGUGUAUGCCACGUGUACGGUGGAUUUGUUCCUAUUGUCUGUGAAGUGCGUACAAGAUGAUAGUGCAGCAUAGUUUCAGGGCAGCUGUUUCGUUAAGGAGGUGUGUUGGGUUAUGAUGGAACAAGUAAUGGAAGGGAGAAACAGUGGGUUUGGUCCAGAGCCAUUUUCAUCUUCUCUAAAAUGGACGAGUGGAGUUUGAACGAGAGUUUUGGGCUGAAACGGGCAGAGGAGCCUGACCAGUUGGACCAGCCAUUGUACCAGAAAUCUGGCGCAGGUUUUAUUUCAUUGGUUGUUUUUAUUAGAUGCGUAGCUUUUUAGUAUGACUCCAAUGCACUGGAGGAGUAUAGAGAGAGGGCAUUCACAGUAUCUCUCCCACCAUUUAAAGAUGGUGGGAAUCUACACCUACAAUUGUUGAAUGAUGGGAGAUAUGGCACCACCAGCCUCCCCUCAUACACUAAAUAGACACUAUCUUUUUCCAUUUUUGUUAUUUGAAAUUUAAAGUUACACGACAAUUUGGAAAUUGCUUAACAAAUGGUGCCCUUGGAGAGCUUGCAAUAUGAACCUUCUAAAUGUCUCAUUUUCUGCAGUAAAACAAUCGCCACAUCAGUCAGUAAAUCUAAGAUGGCCUGGGAUGUAUCGGUUGUUUUGAUCUGUUUGACGGGAUGAACAUCCAAAACUUGGAUUUUUAUUUUUAUUUUAAUUAGUAGUUCACACAGCAUCUACAAUUUAUUUUAAAACUCAUACCAUGCUUAAUUCAAUACUUGUUCAUUCACAACUCUAAUCCUAAUUCCUAACCAAACUCAACUAGUAACCAACCCUCCCACAAAUACACACUGACCACAUGGUAAGCAGCAUUCUAAGGAUGCGGUUUACAUCGUAGAGAACCUAUGGUGAGUCCCACCAGAUGACUGGUGGGUUCACCCUGCAAGAUAUGUGAAGAUUUGAGUAAGGCAACACUUAAGGUAGUGCCUUUUGCUAUACCAAACUAGGCCUACUAAGCAUUGGCAUCAACCCCACAAAACUAGCCAAAGGAUAGACACUCCUUGCUGCUUAGUAGAUAUUAAUCUAACACUGCAAAGGUUGCCCAUUCUUAAUGCUGUAUAUGUGAGCAUGUUAUGAGGUUCUAGCCGUUCAUCGGGCAUGGUCACAAUGAUUGAGGCGAUCAGAAAUUAAGGCUAGCAGACUUGAGGCUUGAAUGCAGACACUUACCUGUCCAUUUUCACCUCAAAUCCAACAUUUUAGUAUUGUCCCAAGGACCAGAUUUCGGAUGAGAGGUUAUUUAUGGCGAUGUCACUUGAUGAAUUGCUUGAUUUGAAAUUAGGGCCUGUUUGUUUCACCAAUUACUGCAAUGAUUACAAAUUUCUU